rnacentral:pre_miRNA from 10 species
UAAAAAGAGGUAUUGGCGUGCCUCAAUCCGAAGGCAUGGCUGAUUACAGGCACCUCGACCGAUCUAGCGCAUGCAGCCAUGUUUCUUGGAUUGAGCCGCGUCAAUAUCUCUCCUUGCUUC